rnacentral:rRNA from 1 species
UACGAAGGGUGCAAACGUUGCUCGGAAUUAUCGGGCGUAAAGCGCACGUAGGCGGCUUAGCAAGUCGGAUGUGAAAUCCCUCGGCUCAACCAAGGAAGUGCAUCCGAAACUGCUGAGCUUGAGUACUUAAGAGGAUCGCGGAAUUCCCGGUGUAGAGGUGAAAUUCGUAGAUAUCGGGAGGAACACCAGUGGCGAAGGCGGCGAUCUGGGAAGAUACUGACGCUGAGGUGCGAAAGCGUGGGGAGCAAACAGG